GCGCCGGUAACGAAAAUGGCAGACGCGCGGGACUUCCAACCCCGUAUCCUCUAGGGUGUACGGGUUCACUCCCGUCCGGCGCG
rnacentral:tRNA from 1 species